rnacentral:tRNA from 1 species
ACCUGGGUGGCUCAGUCGGUUGAGUGUCUGACUUCAGCUCAGGUCAUGAUCUCAUGGUUCGUGAGUUCAAGCCCCACAUCGGGCU